rnacentral:rRNA from 1 species
GAUGAACGCUGGCGGCGUGCCUAAUACAUGCAAGUCGAGCGAAGCGGGGACGGGUGAGUAACACGUGGCUAACCUCCUAUAAGACUGGGAUAACUUCGGGAGACCGGAACUACACCGCAUACUUAUAGAUGGAUCCGCGCUGAAUUAGCUAGUUGGUAAGGUAACGGCUUACCAAGGCAACGAUGCAUAGCCGACCUGAGAGGGUGAUCGGCCACACGGGAACUGAGACACGGUCCAGACUCCUACGGGAGGCAGCAGUAGGGAAUCUUCCGCAAUGGGCGAAAGCCUGACGGAGCAACGCCGCGUGAGUGAUGAAGGUCUUCGGAUCGUAAAACUCUGUUAUUAGGGAAGCGGUACCUAAUCAGAAAGCCCCGGCUAACUCCGUGCCAGCAGCCGCGGUAAUUC